AAAAACACAAAUCACUGUUUAGGUGACAAACCCACCAAGAAACUGAGAUUUUUUUCUUUUUGGUGGGUUUGUCAUCUAAACAGUGAUUU